GACCGCCAGUGAAAAUCGAUUUUCACUGGCGGUUUUAUUACGCCGACCGCCAGUGAAAAUCGAUUUUCACUGGCGGUG
rnacentral:pre_miRNA from 7 species